rnacentral:misc_RNA from 1 species
UUUCCGUUGGUGAACCAGCGGAGGGAUCAUUAUCGAGUUUAUAACUCCCAAACCCUAUGUGAACUUACCACUUGUUGCUUCGGCGCGCGCUUCGGCGCCGCCGAGGACACUUAAACUCUUUGUUUUUAUAAGCAUUUCUGAGUGGCCGAAAGGCAAAAUACAAAUGAAUCAAAACUUUCAACAACGGAUCUCUUGGUUCUG